GCGUGGGUACCGAAGUGGUCAAACGGGACUGACUGUAGAUCAGUUGGCUUACGCCUUCGGGGGUUCGAAUCCCUCCCCACGCA
rnacentral:tRNA from 1 species